AUUGAACGCUGGCGGCAGGCCUAACACAUGCAAGUCGAACGAGUGGCGGACGGGUGAGUAAUUUCUGGGAAACUGCCCGAUGGAGGGGGAUAACUACUGGAAACGGUAGCUAAUACCGCCUACCAUCGGAUUUGCCCAGAUGGGAUUAGCUUGUAGGUUAGUUAACGGCUCACCUAGGCGACGAUCCCUAGCUGGUCUGAGAGGAUGACCAGCCACGAGUGAACUGAGACACGGGCCAGACUCCUACGGGAGGAAGCAGUGGGGAAUAUGGCACAAUGGGGGCAAGCCUGAUGCAGCCAUGCCGAGUGUAUGAAGAAGGCCGUCGGGUUGUAAAGUACUUUCAGCGGGGAGGCGUUACCCGCAGAAGAAGCACCGGCUAACUCCGGGCCAGCAGCCGCGGUAAUGC
rnacentral:rRNA from 1 species